AAUGAACGUUGGCGGCGUGGAUUAGGCAUGCAAGUCGAGCGCGAACUCGCAAGGGGGAAAGCGGCGAAAGGGAGAGUAACGCGUGGUUAUCUGCCUUCAGGACCGGGAUAGCUGCGGGAAACUGCAGGUAAUACCGGAUGAUGUCUUCGGAUCAAAGGUGUGAUUCCGCCUGAAGAUGAGACCGCGUCCUAUUAGCUAGUUGGCGGGGUAAUGGCCCACCAAGGCAAUGAUGGGUACUGGGUGUGAGAGCACGACCCAGCUCACUGGGACUGAGACACUGCCCAGACACCUACGGGUGGCUGCAGUCGAGGAUCUUCGGCAAUGGGCGCAAGCCUGACCGAGCGACGCCGCGUGCGGGAAGAAGGCCUUCGGGUUGUAAACCGCUGUCAGAGGGGAUGAAAUGCUGGUGGGUUCUCCCAUCAGUUUGACAUAUCCUCAGAGGAAGUACGGGCUAAGUUCGUGCCAGCCGCCGCCGUAAUAC
rnacentral:rRNA from 1 species